UGCCUGCCACUUACCAGAUGCCUGAGAAGUGCCUUUUAGAUGAAGAUGUGAAAUAUGAAGCUAGCUGAGGACAUGCAAAAGGAUUGCUGAGCAUCACUGAAGCCUCACCUGAGCCGGACUGCAGACUGGCGGAUGAAAGGAUUCUCUGUCCGGUUUCUGCCUCCUGUGAGAAUUCUCAGGAAAAUUUCCCAGGGGUUCCAGAAUGACAGUCCAGAGUGCGCAGCUCGGAUCCGGAGCACCGGCUUCACGUCCCAGCUCCAGCACUAACCAGGGAGGGACCUCGGUGAGUCAAUCCACUUCUCUGUCCCGGUUUUCUCAUUGGUAAAAUGUGUUGAGGACUCAACAGUGCCUGAAGUGGUGUGUUGGCUACUGUUCUUAAAACUGCACAUAAAAUGGAAUCCAAGAGGAGAAAUAGGGGACCUCUGGGAACCAGAGAUGUCUCAUCUGGAACGAUGUGUAUACUCUGGAGUGAAAUCAAAGUUUUAAAUCAAGAACUGAGGCAUUGGCCCCUCGUGUCCCUCUUGAGGUGUGUUUUCCAGGGCAGCAGGUUCGCCUUUGGUUUCCAGAUCCAUGGAGACCCAGCAGUGAUAAAGGAGAGUAAUCAGAAGGGAUUUUCUGGGGGUCAGCCCCUGGAAAAAGCUAGACGGGGCAGAGCUCCUGCUUCUGUGGCCCCCAACACCAUCCACCAGGCCACCCCCCCCCCAAGGGCCGCCUCUGCACCAGCUCCUUUGAGGCACCCAGCAGGAGAGACUCCCAACAGCCGCCCAAUUCACAACACAUUCAGCAAUGUUAACAAGAUCUAAUUAGUUUCUUGAUGUUUAAUUUCCUCCCUUUCAUGUUUAAACUAGUUCCCAAACAGUUCUGUUUCCAGCCAAUUCAGGAUGGAAAAUCCUCCCUAAGUAACCUCCCUAUUUCUGGCCACCCCCUGCAGCUCCUCUGCGGGCUCCCCUGGGGGGAUCUCUGCAAAUGGGGCCAGGAGGUAAAUACUGACGAAUUUAAUCAGGUCCGAGUCCUAGAUGAGUGACAGGCUGCACACCUCCCCAUGGAGAGGAGAGGUGUAGGGGCAAGGGAGGCCCAGCAGAGGACCGGGCACCAGGCCAGGUGCUCCUGGGAGUGGAAGGCAAGUGUUGGGGCACAAAGCUAGGCCCUGGCUCCCUGCAGUGAGUAGCCAAAGAGCUUUAAAUCCCAGUGGGAAGGUUGCAGGCCAAGACUGGGGCUUCUGAAGGCUUAAGGAGGCACCUUGGCCUGAAAGGGGAAUGCCACAAGAGACUCCUCCCCAGAAAUAGCCACAUCAAGAAAGGAUGUCAUGUCUCGGGUCAAGGAGUGGUAGAGGGACAGUGCUGCUGGGAGCCACCAGUGCUGACCCCUGAGCUUCUCCGCACCUACCCUGGGCCAUGUCUCCACACGACCCCUUCUCUUCAGGCCAAUAUCCUUCCCUGGAUCUAUGUGACAGUGUCAGAGAAGCCUGCCUUCCCCUUUCCUUGUCUGAGUGCUGGUAUCAGCCACCCUGGCGGUCCCCUCUCCAUUCCACCCUGCCAGGUUUGGGGUCCAGCUUCCAGCUGCUGAGCCACAUGUCAGUGAGCUCAAAGCCCAGCAUCCGGAGGGAAGUAGAAAGCUGCAGUGUGGAGGGCGGGGCCUGCCUGGCUCCAAGGCCCAGCCUUCCCAUUUCCCCAUCCACCUCAUAGACCCCGUAAUAGAUGAGAAAGCACCUGCCGAAAGCCAGAUACCGUGGACAAGUACAAGAGGGCAGUGCUGCAGCCCCCAUGCCCACUCCCCAGGGGAUUUCAGUUCCUUUCCCCCACGGAUGUGUGUGCGUGUGUCCAGCGUGUUGCCAGCGCCAACCGCCCUCCCCCAGCUGCAGGGGGUAGUCACCAGAAACAGGAAGUAAAAUGAAGCAAAACCCAGAAGUGAAACCAACCUAAUCUCUCACCACAUCUGGAAGAGGUGGCCUAGGGGCUCUGACACCACGAAGACCCAGGGCAACCUGGGGGCUGCAUCUGAAGAUGAAAGGCUCUGGGGAGAGGCUGGUAGGAACAGGUGGGGAGGGGGUGAUAGGCUGAUACCCCAUCUGAACCAGGCAUACAAAUGAGACUAAGCAAAGUUCUCUAAUUCUGGAAUCCCCAAAGUGCCCUUCCAGUUGAUCUCUGGAUUUGUGCCCGUAGAUGCCAACAAGGGCUUAUGUUGGGGGAGGCAGCCUGCCCCUCCUCUGGGGUAGCACCCCCUCAGCAGCACCCUCAGUGCUUGAAGACACAGAGACAGCACUUCGUGGGGGU